rnacentral:rRNA from 1 species
GACGAACGCUGGCGGCGUGCCUAAUACAUGCAAGUAGAACGCACAGUUUAUACCGUAGCUUGCUACACCAUAGACUGUGAGUUGCGAACGGGUGAGUAACGCGUAGGUAACCUGCCUGGUAGCGGGGGAUAACUAUUGGAAACGAUAGCUAAUACCGCAUAAUAUUAAUUAUUGCAUGAUAAUUAAUUGAAAGGUGCAAUUGCACCACUACCAGAUGGACCUGCGUUGUAUUAGCUAGUGGGUGAGGUAACGGCUCACCUAGGCGACGAUACAUAGCCGACCUGAGAGGGUGAUCGGCCACACUGGGACUGAGACACGGCCCAGACUCCUACGGGAGGCAGCAGUAGGGAAUCUUCGGCAAUGGACGAAAGUCUGACCGAGCAACGCCGCGUGAGUGAAGAAGGUUUUCGGAUCGUAAAGCUCUGUUGUAAGAGAAGAACGGGUGUGAGAGUGGAAAGUUCACACUGUGACGGUAUCUUACCAGAAAGGGACGGCUAACUACGUG